CAGCAGCCGCGGUAAUACGGAGGGUGCAAGCGUUAAUCGGAAUUACUGGGCGUAAAGCGUGCGUAGGUGGUGGUUUAAGUCCGUUGUGAAAGCCCUGGGCUCAACCUGGGAAUUGCAGUGGAUACUGGGUCACUAGAGUGUGGUAGAGGAUAGUGGAAUUUCCGGUGUAGCAGUGAAAUGCGUAGAGAUCGGAAGGAACAUCUGUGGCGAAGGCGACUAUCUGGGCCAACACUGACACUGAGGCACGAAAGCGUGGGGAGCAAACAGGAUUAGAUACCCGCGUAGUCCCUGUCUCUUAUAC
rnacentral:rRNA from 1 species